UUCGGAAUGAUUUUAAUUGGAUUAGUGGCGAACGGGUGAGUAACGCGUGAGUAACCUGCCUUACACAAGGGGAUAGCCUCUGGAAACGGAGAAUAAUACCCUAUGAAACUAUCUUAUCGCAUGAAAAGAUAGUCAAAGUGUUUUAGCGGUGUAAGAUGGACUUGCGUCUGAUUAGCUAGUUGGUGAGAUAACAGCCCACCAAGGCAACGAUCAGUAGCCGGCUUGAGAGAGUGUACGGCCACAUUGGGACUGAGACACGGCCCAGACUCCUACGGGAGGCAGCAGUGGGGAAUUUUGCACAAUGGGGGCAACCCUGAUGCAGCGACGCCGCGUGAUUUAGAAGGCCUUCGGGUUGUAAAAAUCUUUUGUAUAGGAAGAAAAUGACAGUACUAUACGAAUAAGGUCCGGCUAAUUACGUGCCAGCAGCCGCGGUAAUACGUAAGGACCGAGCGUUGUCCGGAAUCAUUGGGCGUAAAGGGUACGUAGGCGGUUAGAAAAGUUAGAAGUGAAAGGCUAUAGCUCAACUAUAGUAAGCUUUUAAAACUGUUUAACUUGAGAGAUGGAAGGGAAAGUGGAAUUCCUAGUGUAGCGGUGAAAUGCGCAGAUAUUAGGAGGAAUACCGGUGGCGAAGGCGA
rnacentral:rRNA from 2 species